ACAAUGUGUCACCAACGCCGCCUCAGAUGCGUGCUUGUCAGAAUGUGUGACUGAUGAACAACGCACUGAAAACGGCAAAUAAACCCAAUGAAUUCACAACCAUUUAAUAAAAUAGUGUUCUCAUCUUACGUAAUUUGACAGUCCCAAAUUAACCGUCAUUAUUAUUACGCUG